rnacentral:rRNA from 1 species
UCGUAACAAGGUUUCCGUAGGUGAACCUGCGGAAGGAUCAUUACUGAUUGAAAAUCCAUUCACUUACCCGUCCGGGGAGAAUGGUGCGUGUAUGAUGUCCUAUCUUAGGCUCUUGCACGCCGGUCCGCCGGGUGCUCGCUGUCUUCGAGAGGCAUGUUCAAAACUUGUAUUUGAUACGUAGUGCGGUUCACUUGUGUCGUGGCGCGCUGCUCAAUUGCAGCGCUACCGUCCACAGACGCGGGUGAUGCGUGAGUCGGUACACAUCCCGACAACACCUUUACUUCGUCACGAAGUCGUUGUGUGCUAUCGAGAAGAAAAAAACCAAGACUCAAUAUGGGGGAUCACUUAGUCCUUAAAUCGAUGAAAAACAUAGUAAUUUGUGGAAAUUGAUGUGAGUUGUGAAAUUUUGUGAGCAUUGUGUUUUUGAAUGAAAAUUUCAGCACGGACACUUCUGUAUCUGUGCUACAUUUGUUUCAGUAUAUAAACCGAAUCAUAAGUAUUUACCUUUGCUGCAGCCCUCGUCGGCAACGCCAUGCAAUGGUAUAAAUUCUCAUUGGUCACGAGAGUGAUACCAACCCAAACCAUUAUGACGUGUAUCUGAAAUCAAGUGUGACGACCCCCUGAAUUUAAGCAUAUA